rnacentral:rRNA from 1 species
AUUGAACGCUGGCGGAAUGCUUUACACAUGCAAGUCGGGCGGCAGCGCGGGGGCAACCCUGGCGGCGAGCGGCGAACGGGUGAGUAAUACAUCGGAACGUGUCCUUGAGUGGGGGAGUAGCUCGGCGAAAGCCGGAUUAAUACCGCAUAAGCUCUGAGGAGGAAAGCGGGGGACUGGUAACGGCCUCGCGCUGUUGGAGCGGCCGAUGUCGGAUUAGCUAGUUGGUGGGGUAAAGGCCCACCAAGGCGACGAUCCGUAGCUGGUCUGAGAGGAUGAUCAGCCACACUGGAACUGAGACACGGUCCAGACUCCUACGGGAGGCAGCAGUGGGGAAUUUUGGAUAAUGGGGGCAACCCUGAUCCAGCCAUUCCGCGUGAGUGAAGAAGGCC